rnacentral:rRNA from 1 species
GAUGAACGCUGGCGGCGUGCCUAAUACAUGCAAGUCGAGCGAACAGACGAGGAGCUUGCUCCUCUGACGUUAGCGGCGGACGGGUGAGUAACACGUGGAUAACCUACCUAUAAGACUGGGAUAACUUCGGGAAACCGGAGCUAAUACCGGAUAAUAUAUUUAACCGCAUGGUUCAAUAGUGAAAGACGGUUUUGCUGUCACUUAUAGAUGGAUCCGCGCCGCAUUAGCUAGUUGGUAAGGUAACGGCUUACCAAGGCGACGAUGCGUAGCCGACCUGAGAGUGUGAUCCGCCACACUAGAACUGAGACACGGUCCAGACUCAUACGGGAGGCAGCAGUAGGGAAUGUGCCGCAAUGGGCGAAAGCCUGAUGGAGCAACGCCGCGUGAGUGAUGAAGGUCUUCGGAUCGUAAAACUCUGUUAUUAGGGAAGAACAAAUGUGGAAGUAACUAUGCACGUAUUGACGGUACAUAAUCAGAAAGACACGGAUAACUACGUG